CUCUAGCUGACUCGCUCGGCACGCAGUGGCUCGCACCGCCGUCGCCGCGGAGGGAGGAGAGGCUGCAGUGCUGCGGAAGGGCUGCCGUCGCCACCACCCAGCCCGGAAGCCGCGCAGGCGCCUUGUGAAUGCUGCAGUUGAAGGCUGCAGAGGUUAAGGUGGGAGAACAGAGAACCACAGUGAAGACAGCGACGCCCAAGGAUGUUAGUAGGAGGCACACAGAUUGUUGCAGUCUUCUGGCUUCUUCCAGACAACCGCAGCAGGCUGGCCCGGACUCAGAAAACAGAGGACGAAAGCCACAUGAGAAGGCUGACUCCAGGAGCUGGUCCCUGCAGACACAACACUGAGGUAAUUGAUUGGCAGUUGAAUGUACAACAGAAGAGAAAAAGGGAGAGGAAAGCAAGACUGCAGGAGACAGGAAGAGUUGAAG